GCGCCUGCGUCCCUCGGCUCCCAGCCCCAGGGCGCGUGCACCCCGGUCCCUGCCUUCUGCCUCUCCCUUCGCCCGCGCUGAUUCAGUCUGUGCUUGGGGAAAGGGGGGGAGGAGAGCAGAGUGGGUCCAGGCUGAGCUGUGGGAUAAGGAGUGGGGGGGAACCCCGAGCCCGGACAUUCCUUCCGAGAGUGAGCUCUGGGGAGAGAUGGGAGGAGAGUCCUCUCACAUUUCCCCCUUCCUUCCCCCGAAGGCUGGGCCCCCACGCCCCCCCUCCACUGACCCAUACAUUCCGGGACGGUUACUUGCCUCGUGGUCACUAGAAAAUCGACCCCAUUUCAAGCUGAUGGGCCACCAGUCUGAGUCAGUGCCUGCCCUGAGAGAGUGUGCAUGUGUGGUGGGGGGUAGACUCAAAAGAGAUCAGGGAGGGACUUAGGGGAGGGGAAGUGGGCCCCUGGGUAUCUAGUUGUCAGGCCCUCCUUGUCCUUAAGCAUCACCAUCCAGGCAUUUGGGGGUCCCCUUUUCAGGGCCAGAAUCAAAAGUGGUCCUGUGAAGGGGAAAAGGGCCUGGAUUCAGACUGGGAGGCUCCAGUUCAAGAUCCAGCCGUGCUCUGGGGCAGACCUGGGCAGGGACAGGUGGUGUCUCCUCUCCAGGCCUGUUUCCCCAUGUGGUAUAGACUGCGUUCCUACUGAGACGGAAAUGGUAGGCAGGGACAGAGGGAGGUGAACUAGUGUGCAGAGUGGGCUCUUUUGCUCUGUCUGGCCUCCCUGGGGACUGGGAAGGGAUGAAGCCAGUUCUCCCGUCCCUGGAGCCAGGCCCUGAGCCUUCCUGGCAAGGGCAUGGGGGUUAAGGGGGGCACAUUGUUCCACUCUCCAACCUCACUCUUAUCCCCCAAUCCCCACAAGCCCAGGGAAGGCGGGUGCUGAGGUUUCAUAUUUUCCCCCUCCCAAACUAUUCACCACAGAGCCCAAGUCCAAAUAAGCAGAAAUGCUUCUCUGUGUGUGUAUGUGUGUGCAUACGUGUGCAUGUGCUACACAGACGUGCUCUGUGAGACUCCUUCUUACAUAGGGAAACACCACUGCUCUGAUACCACACUAAGUGUAAGAUCCACACCCACAGACACACUCCACAUACAGCCUGGCAUACACACACCCUCAGGGGCUCACCUAGGCUCUCACAGGCAGGCACCUAAGACAGCCCCGACAAGGACACACUCCAGGUGUGAUCAGAUGGACAGUCUCUUACACACCCACACAUAUGUGCAGCCACCCCAGAGAUGGUCAGACACGGUCAUGCACGCUCUCACUUGAACAUGCACAACAUCUCACACCACCACAGAACUAGAUGCUGACUGCGCCAACCCACAGGCCUGAGUCAUAUGACCCCCAGCAAGGGAGCUUUGGGAGUCCCAGGCUCGCCUGGGGCUGGGACACUGAGGGCUGGGACUAGAAGAAGGGAUGACAUGGGGAUUGAGCUUUUCUGUGCUUGCGCUGGAGAAAGGAAGGGAGAGGAAAGCGCAGGCUGCCACCCACCACAGGCUGCUUUCUGUACACUGCAGGGCCCAGGGAAGUAUUUACUAAGCACCUACUGUGUGCUCGGCCCUGUGGAUAUAGAGAUGAACAAAGCCCAAUUCCUGCUCAGAAAAGGCUUUCCGACUAGCAGCAUGAACACCCCACAUGAAGGAUGAAGCUGAGCCUCCAGGAAUGACUGCCCUGAAUGCCGCUGCAGUGCCAGCUUGCUCCUGCUCCAGGCAGAGUUUCCAUGCUCCUGGCCUCCUCCCCUCAGCUCCUCCCUGGUGGAGCCUAUUGCACUCAGAGAGAAAAACAGAAAGCCAAGAAGGGAGUGGACUUGCUCAGGAUCACACAGCUUGAGGCGACAAUGAUACCUCUACAGGCUCCAUAAGAGGGAUAGUGACUUCCAGCAGCUCCUUUGCCAACAGGGAUGGAGCUAUUAGGGGGGGAGGCUGCCAAGUUACCUCCUCUAAGAAGCCUUCCAUGACCUCCAUCUCAGCUGGAUGCUCCUCCUCCGGCACCUGCCCUGCUCCAUUCUUUCACAGUGCUCUGUGGUGCUGCUACCAAGGCUCCCCCUCCCUCUCAAUUUGCUCUCAGUGGCUGGAGGUCACUAUGCAUAGUGACCAGCAAGGGGCUCCUUCAGUGCCCAUUUGUUAAAGGACUGGAUGUUGAAGAACAAGCAAGCAAAGCCCCAGCUGGUCCAGGGAAGCCGGAGGGACCCUCAUAGUAGAUUGGGGACAGGCAGCAUUUUGUGGGAUCCAGCAUCCCCAUCAGCCUCAGGCCUGGCCAGGCCAGGACCCUGAGAACCCCGGGCCCCCUCUGGAAUUAGCAAUACACUUCUUGAACACUCAGGCCUCUCUUUUAUUUUAAAAAAUAUUUAUUUAUUCAUGAGAGGCACAGAGAGAGAGAGGCAGAGACAUAGGCAGAGGGAGAAGCAGGCUCCCUGCAGGGAGCCUGAUGCGGGACUCGAUCCCAGGACCCCAGGAUCACGACCUGAGCCAAAGGCAGACGCUCAACCACUGAGCCACCCAGGUGUCCCUCAGGCCUGUCUUUUAAAAAACAUUCUCCCCUUCCCUUACAAGGGAAGUUCUGGUCUGAAGUAAUUUUCUCUACAAAUACAGUAAGUCCUUGAAAUGGAGCAAAGUCCACUAUAAUGCAACCAAAACUUGGCUCUGUCCUAUGCCUGGGGCCCACCUCAAAUAAAGGUGGGCAAAGCUCUUAUCUCGAGGCAGAGCGGUUGGUAAAAGAUAUGACUGCCUGGUGCUCCUCUGGAGCUUUCUCAUUUGGUCUGCUGCAUGUGGUAAGGUGCCACAGUCUACUUUUGUGCUUUUUUUCGUGAUAGUACGGACCAACAGAAAAAUGUUGCUCUUCAUUGAUCCUGAAAUAACACAACUUUACAUUUUACAUGAUUGAAAGUUUUGGACUUGGCUUCUUGUCUUACAAUGGAGUUUUACUAUAUUAAGCACCUAUUUUGUGCCACAGCGCUGGGCUAGGUUUAUGGCAAUGAACAGAAUUGACAGGUUGUCUGUUCUCAUGGAACUUGCUUUCUCAAUGGAGGAGAUGGACAAUAAGCCAAUAAAAUAGCUGUAAUCUGGGAUGAGGGCUAUGAAGAAAUCAAAGGGCUGAAACAG